GAUGAAGAACGUAGCGAAAUGCGAUACGUAAUGCGAAUUGCAGAAUUUCCGUGAAUCAUCGAAUCUUUGAACGCACAUUGCGCCCCUUGGUAUCCCGAGGGGCAUGCCUGUUCGAGCGUCAUUUCACCACUCAAGCCUGGCUUGGUGUUGGGCGACGUCCCCUUUAGGGACGCGCCUCGAAACGCUCGGCGGCGUGGCACCGGCUUUAAGCGUAGCAGAAUCUUUCGCUUUGGAAGUCGGGGCCCCGCCUGCCGGAAUACCUACUCGUAAGGUUGACCUCGGAUCAGGCAGGGAUACCCGCUGAACUUAAGCAUAUCAAUAAGCGGAGGA
rnacentral:misc_RNA from 1 species